rnacentral:rRNA from 1 species
CCGUCCUUAGAGUUUGAUCCUGGCUCAGGAUGAACGCUAGCUACAGGCUUAACACAUGCAAGUCGAGGGGAAACGACAUCGAAAGCUUGCUUUUGAUGGGCGUCGACCGGCGCACGGGUGAGUAACGCGUAUCCAACCUGCCCAUCACUUGGGGAUAACCUUGCGAAAGUAAGACUAAUACCCAAUGAUAUCCCACGAAGGCAUCCGAAUGGGAUUAAAGAUUUAUCGGUGAUGGAUGGGGAUGCGUCUGAUUAGCUUGUUGGCGGGGUAACGGCCCACCAAGGCGACGAUCAGUAGGGGUUCUGAGAGGAAGGUCCCCCACAUUGGAACUGAGACACGGUCCAAACUCCUACGGGAGGCAGCAGUGAGGAAUAUUGGUCAAUGGGCGAGAGCCUGAACCAGCCAAGUAGCGUGCAGGACGACGGCCCUAUGGGUUGUAAACUGCUUUUAUAAGGGAAUAAAGUGAGUCUCGUGAGACUUUUUGCAUGUACCUUAUGAAUAAGGACCGGCUAAUUCCGUGCCAGCAGCCGCGGUAAUACGGAAGGUCCGGGCGUUAUCCGGAUUUAUUGGGUUUAAAGGGAGCGUAGGCCGGAGAUUAAGCGUGUUGUGAAAUGUAGUGGCUCAACCUCUGCACUGCAGCGCGAACUGGUCUUCUUGAGUACGCACAACGUGGGCGGAAUUCGUGGUGUAGCGGUGAAAUGCUUAGAUAUCACGAAGAACUCCGAUUGCGAAGGCAGCUCACGGGAGCGCAACUGACGCUGAAGCUCGAAAGUGCGGGUAUCGAACAGGAUUAGAUACCCUGGUAGUCCGCACGGUAAACGAUGGAUGCCCGCUGUUGGCCUGAAUAGGUCAGCGGCCAAGCGAAAGCAUUAAGCAUCCCACCUGGGGAGUACGCCGGCAACGGUG